rnacentral:rRNA from 1 species
UACGGAGGGUGCGAGCGUUGUCCGGAAUCACUGGGCGUAAAGGGCGCGUAGGCGGCCGAGCAAGGUCGCGGUGAAAGCCCGGGGCUCAACCCCGGGUCGGCCGUGGCAACUACUCGGCUCGAGCACUGUAGGGGCGGGUGGAAUUCCGGGUGUAGCGGUGGAAUGCGUAGAGAUCCGGAAGAACACCCAUGGCGAAGGCAGCUCUCUGGUCGACAUCUGACGCUGAGACGCGAAAGCGUGGGGAGCGAACGGG